UAUUUUGAAAAGCUGCCACAGAUAUUGGUUCUACAGUUGAAAAGAUUUGAAAUUGAUCAUUUCACAAUGUCCAUGAAGAAGAUGCACGACAAUGUAGAGAUUCCACUGAAGAUGACAUUUCAGAAGAAGCGGAAUAAAAACAAUGACAAAACAGAGUGGUGCCUGAGUUCCUCGGGAUCCAACGAAGCAUCGGAGAAACGACAAUCUAGUUC